rnacentral:rRNA from 1 species
AAUCAACGCUGGCGGCGUGCCUAACACAUGCAAGUCGAACGGGAAACGGGGGCGAACUCCGUGAGUAUAGUGGCGUACGGGUGAGUAACACGUGACUACCUACCUUUGAGUGGGGGAUAACCCCGGGAAACCGGGGCUAAUACCGCAUAACAUCGCAAGAUCAAAGAAGCAAUUCGGCUUAAAGAGGGGUCGCGGCUGAUUAGCUAGUUGGUAGGGUAAUGGCCUACCAAGGCGAUGAUCGGUAGCCGGCCUGAGAGGGCGCACGGCCACACUGGAACUGAAACACGGUCCAGACUCCUACGGGAGGCAGCAGUGGGGAAUUUUGCGCAAGUGGGGGAAACCCUGACGCAGG